GUGGGGAAUUUUGGACAAUGGGCGCAAGCCUGAUCCAGCAAUGCCGCGUGCAGGAAGAAGGCCUUCGGGUUGUAAACUGCUUUUGUACGGAACGAAACGGUCCGGGUUAAUACCCUGGGCUAAUGACGGUACCGUAAGAAUAAGCACCGGCUAACUACGUGCCAGCAGCCGCGGUAAUACGUAGGGUGCAAGCGUUAAUCGGAAUUACUGGGCGUAAAGCGUGCGCAGGCGGUUUUGUAAGACAGGCGUGAAAUCCCCGGGCUCAACCUGGGAAUGGCGCUUGUGACUGCAAGGCUGGAGUGCGGCAGAGGGGGAUGGAAUUCCGCGUGUAGCAGUGAAAUGCGUAGAUAUGCGGAGGAACACCGAUGGCGAAGGCAAUCCCCUGGGCCUGCACUGACGCUCAUGCACGAAAGCGUGGGGAGCAAACAGGAUUAGAAACCCCUGUAGUCC
rnacentral:rRNA from 1 species